rnacentral:rRNA from 1 species
UUUGUAGAAGGUGCUUCGGGUGAGGCCCCGGCCCAAGUCCCUUGGAACAGGGCGUCGUAGAGGGUGAGAAUCCCGUACGCGGCCGAUGACCAAGCCCGUGUGAAGCCCUUUCGACGAGUCGAGUUGUUUGGGAAUGCAGCUCUAAAUGGGUGGUAAAUUUCAUCUAAAGCUAAAUAUCUGUCAGAGACCGAUAGCGCACAAGUAGAGUGAUCGAAAGAUGAAAAGCACUUUGAAAAGAGAGUCAAAUAGUACGUGAAAUUGUUGAAAGGGAAGCGCUUGCAACGAGACUCGUUCGCGGGUGUUCAGCCGUCCCUCGGGGCGGUGCACUCUCCCGCGUAUCGGGCCAGCAUCGGUUUUGGCGGCCGGAUAAAGGCCCCGGGAACGUAGCUCUCCUAGGAGAGUGUUAUAGCCCGGAGUGUAAUGCGGCCAGCUGGGACCGAGGAUCGCGCAUUCGCUAGGAUGCUGGCGUAAUCGUUGUCAGCGACCCGUCUUGAAACACGGA